rnacentral:rRNA from 1 species
AGUGAACGCUGGCGGUAGGCCUAACACAUGCAAGUCGAACGGCAGCACAGUAAGAGCUUGCUCUUACGGGUGGCGAGUGGCGGACGGGUGAGGAAUACAUCGGAAUCUACUUUUUCGUGGGGGAUAACGUAGGGAAACUUACGCUAAUACCGCAUACGACCUACGGGUGAAAGCAGGGGAUCUUCGGACCUUGCGCGAUUGAAUGAGACGAUGUCGGAUUAGCUAGUUGGCGGGGUAAAGGCCCACCAAGGCGACGAUCCGUAGCUGGUCUGAGAGGAUGAUCAGCCACACUGGAACUGAGACACGGUCCAGACUCCUACGGGAGGCAGCAGUGGGGAAUAUUGGACAAUGGGCGCAAGCCUGAUCCAGCCAUACCGCGUGGGUGAAGAAGGCCUUCGGGUUGUAAAGCCCUUUUGUUGGGAAAGAAAAGCAGCAGAUUAAUACCCCGCUGUUCUGACGGUACCCAAAGAAUAAGCACCGGCUAACUUCGUG